GACCUCUGACCUCUGACCAUCAUAAUGACCUCCCAGCUGCCGAGUGAAGAACUGAGGGAGGUCGUCCAUCGUCACCUCUGCCGUCUGAUGUGGACGCUGGAAGUCUUGACCCCUGGAUCACUCCGGCACCGACUGCUGGGACCCCGAAAGUGGCCAAACACAGAUGGAGAGACAUCACAGAGAGAUAUAUUUCUGGCUUUGGUGAGAAUGAAAAACAAAAGAUCUAAAGAAUCAGUGGUGGACGCCAGAUUCUGGUUUGUCCUGCAGAACCAACACAAA